GACGAACGCUGGCGGCGUGCUUAACACAUGCAAGUCGAACGGACAGGCCCUGCUUUUGUGGGGUGCUCGAGUGGCGAACGGGUGAGUAACACGUGAGUAACCUGCCCUUGACUUUGGGAUAACUUCAGGAAACUGGGGCUCAUACCGGAUAGGAGCUCCUGCUGCAUGGUGGGGGUUGGAAAGUUUCGGCGGUUGGGGAUGGACUCGCGGCUUAUCAGCUUGUUGGUGGGGUAGUGGCUUACCAAGGCUUUGACGGGUAGCCGGCCUGAGAGGGUGACCGGCCACAUUGGGACUGAGAUACGGCGCAGACUCCUACGGGAGGCAGCAGUGGGGAAUAUUGCACAAUGGGCGGAAGCCUGAUGCAGCAACGCCGCGUGCGGGAUGACGGCCUUCGGGUUGUAAACCGCUUUCGCCUGUGACGAAGCGUGAGUGACGGUAAUGGGUAAAGAAGCACCGGCUAACUACGUG
rnacentral:rRNA from 1 species